UACGUAGGUGGCGAGCGUUGUCCGGAUUUACUGGGCGUAAAGAGCGCGCAGGCGGUCGUACAAGUCGCGUGUGAAAUCCCUCGGCUCAACCGAGGACGUGCAUCGGAAACUGCGGGGCUUGAGUACUGAAGAGGAUAGCGGAAUUCCCGGUGUAGAGGUGAAAUUCGUAGAUAUCGGGAGGAACACCAGUGGCGAAGGCGGCGAUCUGGGCAGAUACUGACGCUGAGGUGCGAAAGCGUGGGGAGCAAACAGG
rnacentral:rRNA from 1 species